rnacentral:tRNA from 1 species
GUGGUUAUGGCUCAGUUGGUAAAGCACAUGCCUUGAAAGCAUAAAGACUUGAGUUUGAUCACU